UACGAAGGGGGCUAGCGUUGCUCGGAAUUACUGGGCGUAAAGGGAGCGUAGGCGGACUGUUUAGUCAGAGGUGAAAGCCCAGGGCUCAACCUUGGAAUUGCCUUUGAUACUGGCAGUCUUGAGUACGGAAGAGGUAUGUGGAACUCCGAGUGUAGAGGUGAAAUUCGUAGAUAUUCGGAAGAACACCAGUGGCGAAGGCGACAUACUGGUCCGUUACUGACGCUGAGGCUCGAAAGCUAGGGGAGCAAACAGG
rnacentral:rRNA from 1 species